rnacentral:lncRNA from 1 species
AAAGAAAUUGAAGUUGAAAGAAAAGUCAGGUAUGACAAUAUGACAACUGGGAAUUAAAGAUGUCUUGGAGGCUGACCACUGGUUACCUAAUUUACGAGAGAUGUGUAAAACACAGACUGACCUACCACAGAAAAGGCCAGAAGCACAGCUGAGAAGAUCUGGGCACAAGUCUACAGAUAGAAAUUUCUCUGCUAUGGAUCUCAGUGAAACAACAAAAUGCCCCUACCAAAAGUUGCUCCCUGUGGGGAAUGAAAUUAGAUGAGACCUGGAGAGUGGAAAACAAAUUGAAUUCAUUUAACCAAACUGCUAUCUGACCAUUAAGGUUCAUCUCAAAACACAAGCACAAGAUCCCAGGCAAGGCAGUGUCAACAAGAUGAAUUAUGCUCUCAGUGUGCACGGCAGAGCAUGGCAUUGACUGUGCGAUCCCGGGGAGGUGGCCAGUGAGUCAACUUCUUUUUUGAGCUAUCUUGGUCUCUAUGUUGCAUUUAAAAAAAAAAUGGUUGUCUGUGUCUAAACAGUUCUAUUCAUCUCUGUAUUUUUUAUUGUGCAAUUGCAUGAUUAGAAUAAUAAAUCUUUUGGUGGAG